rnacentral:rRNA from 1 species
AUGAACGCUGGCGGCGUGCCUAAUACAUGCAAGUCGAGCGAACGGACGAGAAGCUUGCUUCUCUGAUGUUAGCGGCGGACGGGUGAGUAACACGUGGAUAACCUACCUAUAAGACUGGGAUAACUUCGGGAAACCGUAGCUAAUACCGGAUAAUAUUUUGAACCGCAUGGUUCAAAAGUGAAAGACGGUCUUGCUGUCACCUAUAGAUGGAUCCGCGCUGCAUUAGCUAGUUGGUAAGGUAACGGCUUACCAAGGCAACGAUGCAUAGCCGACCUGAGAGGGUGAUCGGCCACACUGGAACUGAGACACGGUCCAGACUCCUACGGGAGGCAGCAGUAGGGAAUCUUCCGCAAUGGGCGAAAGCCUGACGGAGCAACGCCGCGUGAGUGAUGAAGGUCUUCGGAUCGUAAAACUCUGUUAUUAGGGAAGAACAUAUGUGUAAGUAACUGUGCACAUCUUGACGGUACCUAAUCAGAAAGCCACGGCUAACUACGUG